CAAUAGCGUAUAUUAAAGUUGUUGCAGUUAAAAAGCUCGUAGUUGGAUUUCUGGUGGGAGCGAUCGGUCUGGCGCUUAGCGCGAGUACUUGCAUCGUCUCCGGCCAUCCUUGGGGAGAGUCUGUCUUGCAUUAGGUUGUCGGGCAGAGGAUCCUCAUCGUUUACUGUGAAAAAAUUAGAGUGUUCAAAGCAGGCUUAUGCCGUUGAAUAUAUUAGCAUGGAAUAAUAAGAUAGGACUUUGGUACUAUUUUGUUGGUUUGCGCACCAAAGUAAUGAUUAAUAGGGACAGUUGGGGGUAUUCGUAUUCCGUUGUCAGAGGUGAAAUUCUUGGAUUUACGGAAGACGAACUACUGCGAAAGCAUUUACCAAGGAUGUUUUCAUUAA
rnacentral:rRNA from 1 species